rnacentral:rRNA from 1 species
CCUACGGGUGGCAGCAGUGGGGAAUAUUGCACAAUGGGGGAAACCCUGAUGCAGCGACGCCGCGUGAGUGAAGAAGUAUUUCGGUAUGUAAAGCUCUAUCAGCAGGGAAGAAGAAAGACGGUACCUGACUAAGAAGCCCCGGCUAACUACGUGCCAGCAGCCGCGGUAAUACGUAGGGGGCAAGCGUUAUCCGGAUUUACUGGGUGUAAGGGGAGCGUAGACGGCUGUGCAAGUCUGAAGUGAAAGCCCCGGGCUCAACCCGGGGACUGCUUUGGAAACUGUGGAGCUAGAGUGCUGGAGAGGUAAGUGGAAUUCCUAGUGUAGCGGUGAAAUGCGUAGAUAUUAGGAGGAACACCAGUGGCGAAGGCGGCUUACUGGACAGUAACUGACGUUGAGGCUCGAAAGCGUGGGGAGCAAACAGGAUUAGAUACCCUUGUAGUC